UAUUUUCUUUCAUCGUGUUUUACGACAAACGGUGUAAGAAAAAUUGACUUUGACCAUUGGUCAAAAUUGAACUCCAUAUCUGUUUAUCUCGAAGUAAUAGCAAAGAAGAAGACAAAAGUGGAUUUUGAUCGAUUGAUAGGGCCCUUCAACGGUUGAACCUUGUACUUCCAUCACCGACGAAAGACAUCUCUCCAAAAUCAAUCGGGCAUUUAUGGAUAAGAAGAAUCCAGGCAAGGAGGUUUGUGAUGAGGACUUGACUCGGGAAUCGCUCAUUGCAAUAUCUUACUUAGCACCAGAGAAGGAACCUGCUUCUGGCUACAAACCUGAGGAUUUGACUAGUGACCCCAUUGCCAAGACUAAAAAUGCUGAGGGAGAUGACAUUUAUAGAUCUAAGCUGAUUUCAAUAUCUUACCAACAGUCACCCGACCCCAAAGAUCAACCGGUGUCACCUGGAGAAAUCAACGGCUAGCUUAACUAGUUACUUCAUGUUUAGUCUGUGUGUAAAAACACUUUAUGCAAUAUGUUCUGAUUUGAAGAUAAAGAAGUGGUGGAUGCAACAACUGUGUUUUCAUGGUGUCAAUUUCAUCCAAUCAUCUCAUGUAAUCAAUAUUACAGAAAACCCAACAUUCACUUGAAAUCAUCAAUGUGAAAAGCCUUAGCUUUUUUUUUUU